rnacentral:RNase_P_RNA from 1 species
CGAGUCGGCCGGGCGGCCGCGAUCGCGGGAACAGUUGCCUCAGCGACCUGCCCGCGGUCGAGGAAAGUCCGGACUCCACAGAGCAGGGUGGUUGCCAACAGCAACCCGAGGUGACUCGCGGGACAGUGCCACAGAAAACAGACCG